GUCAGACCGAUAGAGUACAGGAAGGGACUGUCAGACUACCUGUCAUCUGUUGAUAAUAGUCUGAUUAAAACUGAAGGUUACAAUCUGCACCUACAUGCAACAUCUUCUCACUCUUAUUAUUAUCUCUUACAGGCUGACUACACCACUCGCGUCGCAUGCGUGAGCGUUGCAAAAUAUAUUUAGAAAUCUAUAUUAUUCCAUUAUUGCACCCACAGUGCUCACACGCGCCAACGAGCAUCUGCGUUGCCAAGGGCUAAAAUAGAUGGCGCUGCAAGUCCUGCCUCUCCCAUCUCCUCAUUGGUUUAUAGAAGCAGGUACCCACGUGCCAUCUCCUCAUUGGUUUAUAGAAGCAGGUACCCACGUGCCAUCUCCUCAUUGGUUUAUAGAAGCAGGUAUCCACGUGCCAUCUCCUCAUUGGUUUAUAGAAGCAGGUAUCCACGUGCCAUCUCCUCAUUGGUUUAUAGAAGCAGGUGCCAUCUCCUCAUUGGUUUAUAGAAGCAGGUACCCACGUGCCAUCUCCUCAUUGGUUUAUAGAAGCAGGUACCCACGUGCCAUCUCCUCAUUGGUUUAUAGAAGCAGGUGCCAUCUCCUCAUUGGUUUAUAGAAGCAGGUGCCAUCUCCUCAUUGGUUUAUAGAAGCAGGUACCCACGUGCCAUCUCCUCAUUGGUUUAUAGAAGCAGGUACCCACGUGCCAUCUCCUCAUUGGUUUAUAGAAGCAGGUAUCCACGUGCCAUCUCCUCAUUGGUUUAUAGAAGCAGGUAUCCACGUGCCAUCUCCUCAUUGGUUUAUAGAAGCAGGUGCCAUCUCCUCAUUGGUUUAUAGAAGCAGGUGCCAUCUCCUCAUUGGUUUAUAGAAGCAGGUGCCAUCUCCUCAUUGGUUUAUAGAAGCAGGUGCCAUCUCCUCAUUGGUUUAUAGAAGCAGGUGCCAUCUCCUCAUUGGUUUAUAGAAGCAGGUGCCAUCUCCUCAUUGGUUUAUAGAAGCAGGUGCCAUCUCCUCAUUGGUUUAUAGAAGCAGGUACCCACGUGCCAUCUCCUCAUUGGUU